GUUUGGCCUUGGAGAUCAAAAUGAAGCAGGGCAAAGGCUAAUAGAGUUCUGUCAAGAGAACAAGCUGGUCAUCACAAACACGCUUUUCCAACAACACAAGAGACGACUCUACACAUGGACAUCACCAGAUGGGCAACAUCGAAACCAGAUUGAUUAUAUUCUCUGCAGCCAAAGAUGGAGAAGCUCUAUACAGUCAGCAAAAACAAGACCUGGAGCUGACUGUGGCUCAGAUCAUCAGCUUCUUAUAGCAAAAUUCAAGCUUAAACUGAAGAAAGUAGGAAAAACCACUGGGCCGGUAAGAUACAAUCUAAAUCAAAUCCCUUAUGAAUACACAGUGGAAGUGAAGAACAGGUUUAAGGAUUUAGAUUUGCUGGACAGAGUGCCUGAAGAACUAUGGGUGGAGGCUCGCAACAUUAUACAGGAGGCAGCAACUAAAACCAUCCCAAUGGAAAAGAAAUGCAAGAAAGCAAAGUGGCUGUCCAACGAGGCCUUACAAAUAGCGGGGGAGAGAAGGCAAGCAAAAUGCAAGGGAGAUAGUGAAAGAUACAGGAAAUUGAAUGCAGAUUUCCAAAGAAUAGCAAGGAGAGACAAGAAGGCCUUCUUAAACGAGCAAUGC